AGCGAACGCUGGCGGCAGGCCUAACACAUGCAAGUCGAACGAAGUCUUCGGACUUAGUGGCGGACGGGUGAGUAACACGUGGGAACGUGCCUUUAGGUUCGGAAUAACUCAGGGAAACUUGUGCUAAUACCGAAUGUGCCCUUCGGGGGAAAGAUUUAUCGCCUUUAGAGCGGCCCGCGUCUGAUUAGCUAGUUGGUGAGGUAAAGGCUCACCAAGGCGACGAUCAGUAGCUGGUCUGAGAGGAUGAUCAGCCACAUUGGGACUGAGACACGGCCCAAACUCCUACGGGAGGCAGCAGUGGGGAAUCUUGCGCAAUGGGCGAAAGCCUGACGCAGCCAUGCCGCGUGAAUGAUGAAGGUCUUAGGAUUGUAAAAUCCUUUCACCGGGGACGAUAAUGACGGUACCCGGAGAAGAAGCCCCGGCUAACUCCGUGCCAGCCGCCGCAGUAAAAC
rnacentral:rRNA from 1 species